UACAGAGACUGCAAGCGUCAUUCGGAUUCACUGGGCGUAAAGGGUGCGCAGGCGGGGCUGUAAGUCGGUGAUGAAAUGUCAGGGCUCAACCUUGGCGCCGUUGCCGAAACUGCAGUUCUUGAGUGCGGAUGAGGUUACUGGAAUGAGUGGUGUAGCGGUGAAAUGCGUAGAGAUCACUCAGAACACCAAUUGCGAAGGCAGGUAACUGGACCGCUACUGACGCUCAUGCACGAAAGCGUGGGGAUCAAACAGG
rnacentral:rRNA from 1 species